rnacentral:rRNA from 1 species
UAAUACGGAGGGUGCAAGCGUUAUCCGGAUUUACUGGGUUUAAAGGGAGCGCAGGCGGAUUAGUAAGUCAGUGGUGAAAGCCUUGAGCUUAACUCGAGAACUGCCAUUGAUACUAUUAGUCUUGAAUGUUGUUGAGGUUUGCGGAAUGGGUCAUGUAGCGGUGAAAUGCAUAGAUAUGACCCGGAACACCUAUUGCGAAGGCAGCAGGCUAAACAAAUAUUGACGCUGAGGCUCGAAAGCGUGGGGAUCAAACAGGAUUAGAUACCCUGGUAGUCCACGCCCUAAACGAUGAUUACUCGACAUACGUGAUAUGACAAUGUGUGUCUGAGCGAAAGCAUUAAGUAAUCCACCUGGGAAGUACGACCGCAAGGUUG